rnacentral:rRNA from 1 species
UACGUAGGGGGCGAGCGUUAUCCGGAAUUAUUGGGCGUAAAGCGCGCGCAGGCGGUCGGUUAAGUCAGAUGUGAAAGGCUACGGCUCAACCGUAGAGCGGCAUCUGAAACUGGCUGACUUGAGUGCAGGAGAGGGGAGCGGAAUUCCCGGUGUAGCGGUGGAAUGCGUAGAGAUCGGGAGGAACACCAGUGGCGAAGGCGGCUCUCUGGCCUGUAACUGACGCUGAGGCGCGAAAGCGUGGGGAGCAAACAGG